rnacentral:rRNA from 1 species
UACGUAGGUGGCAAGCGUUGUCCGGAUUUAUUGGGCGUAAAGAGCGUGUAGGCGGCUUGGUAGGUCUGCUGUGAAAACUCGGGGCUCAACCCCGAGACGUCGGUGGAAACCACCUUACUAGAGUCCGGAAGAGGAGAGUGGAAUUCCUGGUGUAGCGGUGAAAUGCGCAGAUAUCAGGAAGAAUAUCCGUGGCGAAGGCGGCUCUCUGGUACGGCACUGACGCUGAGACGCGAAAGCGUGGGGAGCGAACAGG